rnacentral:tRNA from 1 species
GCCUGGGUGGCUCAGUCGGUUGAGCAUCUGACUUUGGCUCAGGUCAUGAUCUCAUGGGUUGUGAGUUCGAGCCCCACAUCAGGUU